rnacentral:rRNA from 1 species
UACGGAGGGGGCAAGCGUUAUUCGGAAUUAUUGGGCGUAAAGGGCGCGUAGGCGGCUAGAUGUGUCAAAGGUGAAAUCCCUCGGCUCAACUGAGGAACUGCCUUUGAAACUGUCUGGCUUGAGGCCGGGAGAGGGUAGCGGAAUUCCCAGUGUAGCGGUGAAAUGCGUAGAUAUUGGGAGGAACACCAAUUGCGAAGGCAGCUCACUACACAAUCAUUGACGCUGAGGCACGAAAGCGUGGGGAUCAAACAGG